GAUGAACGCUGGCGGCGUGCUUAACACAUGCAAGUCGAACGGACUUUUGAUGAAGCCUAGCGAUUCAAAAGUUAGUGGCGGACGGGUGAGUAACGCGUGGGUAAUCUGCCUUAUACAGGGGGAUAACACUUAGAAAUAGGUGCUAAUACCGCAUAAGCGCACAGUAUCGCAUGAUACAGUGUGAAAAACUCCGGUGGUAUAAGAUGGACCCGCGUCUGAUUAGCUAGUUGGUGAGGUAACGGCUCACCAAGGCGACGAUCAGUAGCCGGCCUGAGAGGGUGAACGGCCACAUUGGGACUGAGACACGGCCCAA
rnacentral:rRNA from 1 species